UGAGACACGGCCCAAACUCCUACGGGAGGCAGCAGUAGGGAAUCUUCCACAAUGGACGCAAGUCUGAUGGAGCAACGCCGCGUGAGUGAAGAAGGUUUUCGGAUCGUAAAGCUCUGUUGUUGGUGAAGAAGGAUAGAGGUAGUAACUGGCCUUUAUUUGACGGUAAUCAACCAGAAAGUCACGGCUAACUACGUGCCAGCAGCCGCGGUAAUACGUAGGUGGCAAGCGUUGUCCGGAUUUAUUGGGCGUAAAGCGAGCGCAGGCGGAAAAAUAAGUCUAAUGUGAAAGCCCUCGGCUUAACCGAGGAACUGCAUCGGAAACUGUUUUUCUUGAGUGCAGAAGAGGAGAGUGGAACUCCAUGUGUAGCGGUGGAAUGCGUAGAUAUAUGGAAGAACACCAGUGGCGAAGGCGGCUCUCUGGUCUGCAACUGACGCUGAGGCUCGAAAGCAUGGGUAGCGAACAGGAUUAGAUACCCUGGUAGUCCAUGCCGUAAACGAUGAGUGCUAAGUGUUGGGAGGUUUCCGCCUCUCAGUGCUGCAGCUAACGCAUUAAGCACUCCGCCUGGGGAGUACGACCGCAAGGUUGAAACUCAAAGGAAUUGACGGGGGCCCGCACAAGCGGUGGAGCAUGUGGUUUAAUUCGAUGCAACGCGAAGAACCUUACCAGGUCUUGACAUCUAGUGCAAUCU
rnacentral:rRNA from 2 species